UACGAAGGGGGCGAGCGUUGUUCGGAUUUACUGGGCGUAAAGCGUGCGCAGGCGGCUAUGCAAGACAGAUGUGAAAUCCCCGGGCUCAACCUGGGAACUGCAUUUGUGACUGCAUGGCUAGAGUACGGUAGAGGGGGAUGGAAUUCCGCGUGUAGCAGUGAAAUGCGUAGAUAUGCGGAGGAACACCGAUGGCGAAGGCAAUCCCCUGGACCUGUACUGACGCUCAUGCACGAAAGCGUGGGGAGCAAACAGG
rnacentral:rRNA from 1 species